CCUACGGGUGGCUACAGUGAGGAAUAUUGGUCAAUGGGCGCGAGCCUGAACCAGCCAAGUCGCGUGAAGGCUGACGGUCCUACGGAUUGUAAACCUCUUUUGCCGGGGAGCAAGCGUUCGUUCGUGAACGCUCGUCGAGAGUACCCGGAGAAAACGCAUCGGCUAACUCCGUGCCAGCAGCCGCGGUAAUACGGAGGAGGCGAGCUUUAUCCGGAUUUAUUGUGUUUCAAGGGUGCGGAGGCGGGAUGCCCAGUCAGCGGUAAAAAGGCGGUGCUCAAACCCGUCGAGCGGUUGAAACUGGCGGUCUUGAGUGGGAGAGAAGUAUGCGGAAUGGGUGGUGUAGCGGUGAAAUGCAUAGAUAUCACGAAGAACUCCGAUUGCGAAGGCAGCAUAACGGCGCCCUACUGACGCUGAGGCACGAAAGCGUGGGUAUCGAACAGGAUUAGAUACCCGAGGAGUC
rnacentral:rRNA from 1 species